CCCGGUAAGACUUGGCAACCACUAACCACUUUAAACAACCACAACGAUGAUAAUAAUAAUAUUAUAAGUUAUAAUCCGCAAUCGACGGAGCCGCCGAAAUAGUCAUCUCCGGUCGGUCAGCCCGCGCGACAGACGUGUAUGUGCGGAUGUCCCAAUUAAGCAAAUAAACCUAGCUCUGUCCGCGGUGCAUAUAUAGAACUGGUUCAACGCUGCCAUAAACACACAUACACACACACAUAUAUAUAUAUAAGUAUACAUUAUACAGGUAUACUUACACUCUUAUGUAUGUAUGUAGACGUGAAGUACCUAUAUAUGAGUAUAGGUGUAUUGAUGUCGUACGCGUCGUUUUCCUUUCUUGCCUCGGAAGAACGGAAAGAAAUUUUUAAACAUACAUCGUCGUCAAAACCUGAGGCAAAACUCCACGUUUCCCGGAAAUCGAGUUUGUGCCGGCCACGUUUAUCUUCAAAAAUAUGGGACUUAUUGAAGCCAAUUUUUCAAUAUCAAUUGAAUACCAUUCACUGAAUCAUUCAGUGGCGUUAAGAAUAAGGGGGGAGCAAGCCAAAAAAAAAAAUACUUGUUGAGGGCCACGGGUUGGACCACCCUGACUUAUGGUCAACGAGUUUAACAAAAAUCCAAAAAUUUGACAUAAGUUUUUGAUGAUGUAUACUAAUUUUAACUAUAUGUAUUUUUUUUUUUUAGUUAAAUAAUUCUUUUCGAUUUUUGAAAUAAAUUACUCACCAGACACAGUGGCGACAACUAAGAGUUGUAUUUUUACAUUUAAAUAACUUGCUCAGGUUUCGUUUUUAACGUGGUUAUUAAUGAGUGGUUGGUUAUAUCUAUCUGAUUACCAGACCGCUUGGCGCUGAUAACCGGUUAGGAAUAAGUAUUAAAAUAUCACAGCAUCAUACAAUUCACAUUUGAGUGGUAUACACGCACAGUUAUGUAGGUUACCUCAUACUGAGCGAUGUUAUGCUUUCUAUACGCUUCCAAGUAAUAUUUCAUUGACAGACUUCCAGUCACGUGUUACUAGACCCUUAGGCUAUAAGUGUAUUACAAUUGAUUAUUCAUUCAUCCCGACGUAGUUAGAAUUAUUACCAUUUAACUUUUGUUUCAAAAUUAAUAAACUUUAAUAGUAUGCCUAUAUACAUAGAUCUUAAUCUAUACUUAUA